CAGUAACGGCGAGUGAAGCGGCAAGAGCUCAAAUUUGAAAUCUGGCCCCGUCGGGGUCCGAGUUGUAAUUUGCAGAGGAUGCUUCGGGUGCGGCCCCCGUCUAAGUGCCCUGGAACGGGCCGCCGGAGAGGGUGAGAGUCCCGUCUGGGACGGGUGGCCGCGUCCGUGUGAAGCUCCUUCGACGAGUCGAGUUGUUUGGGAAUGCAGCUCUAAAUGGGUGGUAAAUUUCAUCUAAAGCUAAAUAUUGGCCGGAGACCGAUAGCGCACAAGUAGAGUGAUCGAAAGAUGAAAAGCACUUUGAAAAGAGAGUUAAAUAGCACGUGAGAGCGCCGCAAGGAAAGCGCUUGCCACCACACUCGCCC
rnacentral:rRNA from 1 species